rnacentral:rRNA from 1 species
AGAGUUUGAUCCUGGCUCAGAUUGAACGCUGGCGGCAGGCUUAACACAUGCAAGUCGAGCGGAAACGAUACCAGCUUGCUGGUAGGCGUCGAGCGGCGGACGGGUGAGUAAUACUUAGGAAUCUACCUAGUAGUGGGGGAUAGCUCGGGGAAACUCGAAUUAAUACCGCAUACGACCUACGGGAGAAAGGGGGCAGUUUACUGCUCUCGCUAUUAGAUGAGCCUAAGUCGGAUUAGCUAGAUGGUGGGGUAAAGGCCUACCAUGGCGACGAUCUGUAGCUGGUCUGAGAGGAUGAUCAGCCACACCGGGACUGAGACACGGCCCGGACUCCUACGGGAGGCAGCAGUGGGGAAUAUUGGACAAUGGGGGAAACCCUGAUCCAGCCAUGCCGCGUGUGUGAAGAAGGCCUUUUGGUUGUAAAGCACUUUAAGCAGUGAAGAAGACUCCUCGGUUAAUACCCGUGGACGAUGACAUUAGCCGCAGAAUAAGCACCGGCUAACUCUGUGCCAGCAGCCGCGGUAAUACAGAGGGUGCAAGCGUUAAUCGGAAUUACUGGGCGUAAAGCGAGCGUAGGUGGCUUGAUAAGUCAGAUGUGAAAUCCCCGGGCUUAACCUGGGAACUGCAUCUGAAACUGUUAGGCUAGAGUAGGUGAGAGGAAGGUAGAAUUCCAGGUGUAGCGGUGAAAUGCGUAGAGAUCUGGAGGAAUACCGAUGGCGAAGGCAGCCUUCUGGCAUCAUACUGACACUGAGGCUCGAAAGCGUGGGUAGCAAACAGGAUUAGAUACCCUGGUAGUCCACGCCGUAAACGAUGUCUACUAGUCGUUGGGUCCCUUGAGGACUUAGUGACGCAGCUAACGCAAUAAGUAGACCGCCUGGGGAGUACGGCCGCAAGGUUAAAACUCAAAUGAAUUGACGGGGGCCCGCACAAGCGGUGGAGCAUGUGGUUUAAUUCGAUGCAACGCGAAGAACCUUACCUGGUCUUGACAUAUCUAGAAUCCUGCAGAGAUGCGGGAGUGCCUUCGGGAAUUAGAAUACAGGUGCUGCAUGGCUGUCGUCAGCUCGUGUCGUGAGAUGUUGGGUUAAGUCCCGCAACGAGCGCAACCCUUGUCCUUAGUUACCAGCGGGUUAAGCCGGGAACUCUAAGGAUACUGCCAGUGACAAACUGGAGGAAGGCGGGGACGACGUCAAGUCAUCAUGGCCCAUACGACCAGGGCUACACACGUGCUACAAUGGUAGGUACAGAGGGCAGCUACACAGCGAUGUGAUGCGAAUCUCAAAAAGCCUAUCGUAGUCCAGAUUGGAGUCUGCAACUCGACUCCAUGAAGUAGGAAUCGCUAGUAAUCGCGGAUCAGAAUGCCGCGGCGAAUACGUUCCCGGGCCUUGUACACACCGCCCGUCA